CACUGGUCGCAGGUGUAUCCAAUACACGUUGAUUCAAGCCGCAUCCUAUUCUCUCAUUCUAAGUUCAUCACAAUUUUGGAAUGUGAAAUAGAGACGAGAUUUUUUCUCAGGUUGGCACUGGGCGACGUAAUAGAAAGGCAGUGACUAUCAGAUUUGGUCUCGCUGCAAAACCGGGAAAUGCAGCACAGAAAAAAUACCAACACUACUAUUCUGCCAACUAUCGAUCUCAGAUACUCGGCAGCAAUGACAUUAUUGCACUUAACAUUUUGCAUUGGAAAAGGUCUUCGACGAUCGAUACAUGAAUCCCAGGAUACCAAUUACCGGGAAUCGGGAGCAUGAGGUAUUAUAUUAUAAUAAUACCCAUGAGAUAUUAUUAUAAGAUAAAAACCAAAAUUGUCUAUGCAAAUUGUGCGUUUUUCGGCUUUACCUGUGAUGCGGUCACCGAAACAUUCGAAAGAUACACCUUAUCCCUGAGAUAUUUCCGUUAGUAAAUUAGAAGGCUAUUCCCUGGUUCAUUUUUCUCUUUUGGGGAUCGAGCCGUGCAGUGAUUGGCUGGAAAUCAGGAAGAGUAGGGGAGAACGGGGUCCCGCUGGACACGUACCAGGUUGGACAAGCUCAAUAACUGACGGUGGGGAUGAGGAAAAAAAAUAAAAAUAGUGUGAAAUGAAGAAUUUCAUAACAACUACAGGGUAUAAGUUUAAGUAAAAUCCUGCAAAUAGUUUUUGAGUUAUAGCAAUAAUAAAAAAAUUGCGGUCUAAUUUUAUGUUUGUCAUUGCCAUAUUUUUUUGUAUCACUAAACAACCUGUACGGUUUAAAAAAAUUUUAUUGUUGAAUAAAAUACUUUAUUCAUUCUGUUUUCAUGUGGUGUUAAAAUGUUAUUGUUACGGUUAAUCGUUUAAGAAUAAUAAUGAUUUAGAAAAAUGUCUUUGCUGCGGGUAAU